GCAUAUUUUUCAUGUGCAGAUACAGAUACUUCGACUCAGUCUUACCACCCUUGAGGUGAGGCGACUGCUCAAAAGACUUCGAGGUAUAUCUGUCGUGUCCACAGACCGAAGAGUCCCUUUCAAUUAUCGCUUUUAAGUAUUAGCGCUUCUGUAUUUAUUUUCUUUAUUAGAUAUUCCAGAGUUAGACAUUAAUAGAUAUUCAAA
rnacentral:lncRNA from 1 species